UGUGAGUCAAUUAAACCUCUUUUCUUUAUGAAUUACUCAGUCUCAGGUAGUUCUUUAUAGCAAUGCGAGAACAGACUAGUACCGUCACUAUUGAUGAGAAUGUUGAGCUAUAGGUACUCUCAUACAUUACGGUGGAAGCGAAAAUUGGCUCAAACCACUUGGGAAAACAUGGCAUUAUCUAGUAAAUUUCGAGAUAUGUAUUGCCUGUGAUACAGCAAUUCCAAAAAGAAACUUGGACAUGUGCUUCAAGAGACCUGUACAAGUAUGUUCAUAGCCAAGGGAUGGAAACUAUCCAAAUGCCUGCCCAUCAUCAGCAGAAUGGAUAAAUUAGAGGACUAUGAAACUCUGCCGUAAUGUAAUAGGUAGUUUCCAAGAACUCCAAUCACAUACAAUGUGAAACUGUGUUACUGUGGGGUUAAUGAAGUGAACGAGGCAAGCCUACUGGACCAUCCAAAUCUGUCCUGAUCCCGGCUGGAGUUUGAUGCCAUCUAGUGGCAGAUGUUGCUCUGGCUGAAAUAUUGAUGGAGGAGAUUUCCGGCCCAGUGGCUGACUGAGACUUCCAGGACAGUGGCAGUAUCUCCGGGAAUCUCUCAAUCAGUUAGGACUUCUUUCCUUGACUUGAUCUGGUGAUAAUAGGCCGGGAAAAUAAUGGGGACCAGGAGACCCUCCCUCUGUCUUCCUGCUUCCUAAGACAGGGUCACAUGUACUUUACUCUCCCUUCCCUGACCUGUUGAAGGUAAGAACUUUAGCCUGCCUCUGUCUGAGAAUGGGGACUGAGCAGAGGAUGACAGGAAGGAUGGCAAUCACUAAGUGGGUUAUGUCUCAUUUUCAGCUAUUCCGGGUGUAAUUGUGUUAUCAAGUUGUGUUCUCUGGUUUUUAAAAUUCAUCAUUUAAUGAAAUAUAUGCAAUGAAAUACAGUAGUGAAAAUAAUGAACUGGAGGUACACGCAAGAGCUUGGGUGAAUUUUUCUUUCCUGUAAGUAAAAACAUUUUUAACUGAUGUAUGAUAACUCCACAUAUUUAUGGAGUAUAUGUGAUAUUUUGAUACAUGCAGACGCACACACUAUGUAAUGAUCAAGUCGGGGUAUUUAGGAUAUCCACCACCUCAAGCAUUUAUCAUUUCUUUUUUGGGGGAACAUUUCCUAUCUUUUAGCUAUUUUGAAAUAUACAAUAAAUAGUCCCUCUACAGUGCUAUCAAACACUAGAACUUACUCCUUCUAUCCAACUAUAUGUUUGUCCCCAGUAACCUCCCCACCCUCCCCACCUUUCCCAGUCUCUGGUAACCAUUAUUCUGCUCUACCUCCAAAAGAUCAACUUUUUUAGUUUCCACGUGAGUGUCAAUAUGCUUUUCCCGGGUGCAGAGGCUGCUGAUUCCUGGAUUUGGACGGUGGGGGAGAGUGGUUUGGAUUGCAGUACCUCCCCCUUCCUCAGGGCUAGACCCUGUCCGGUCACCUCCUGUUGCCACAGGUGUGCCUGGCACAGACAUCCAGCUCCCAGGGCCGUGCCGCCCUCACCCCUGCAUGCCUCUAGAGGUACCUGUCCCGUGGAUUUGACCCCCCUUCCGGACACACAAGUAGAUCAGCACCCAGCAGACACAGGGUCACCUCCCAGCUCCCCACCAGGUAAGAGCGACCAGGACAGGGACUGAUACUGCCGAAUCCAGGAGCCAGGCCCAACCCAGCCUCAGGUCCAGCAGGUCCCGCCUGUCCACCUGCGCCGGGCCUAGAGCCCGGGAGCCCCUGGCUGCUGGGAGGCCACCCGCAACCCACCCCACACGCAGCUCCAGCUCCCCCACCAGGCGGGGCGACUAGGACAGGGACAGAGCCUGUUGAACCCAGGAGUGAGACCCGGCCCUGGGUCCUGCUGGGCCCUCCCGUCCACCUUGGGUGGACCUGGCACAUGGGCGACCUUGGCUGGCAGGAGGUCACUCCCACCUGACAUGCGGUUCCAGCUACCCCACCUGGCUGGGCGACCGGGACAGGGACAGAGGCUGCUGAACCCAGUUAGAGGCCUGGCCCCGGGGUCUGUCCUGGACGCUCCCCCAAGGACAGGCAGGAUAGGCAGGGUCCGGGACGACGGCCGCACGGCCCCGGCCCUGUGUUCCCAGGCCCGCCUUGCUCCUCGAUGUGAGGAAGACCAGGGAGACGGGACAGGCUGGGCCCCGCGGUACCGGACUACCUGCAGGGCUCCCGGGACAGGGGCCUGGUGGAUCGCCGGCUGCUCAGGGGUGACGGGUCCAAGCUGGCAUGGCGGCCACCUUCCGGCCUGGGCUCUCUUGGGGAGGGGCAGGGUUGGCGAGAACCAGUCAUGUGCUCCAGGGCUCGCUCGGGGUCUCCCAGGGCCGGAAGUAGGGCCCCUGUGCGCAGGCGCCCUGAGGAUCCCAGGCUGCCCCUCUCACGCCAGGGGGCGGAACUUCCUGCAGCCUCACUGCCUCCGCGUCCUCGUGGGCCCCGACUUUGUCUCUGAGCGCGCCACAGAGGCCCAGGAGCCAUGCAGGCCUCAGGCCAGGGCACAGGGGGCGCGGCGGGCGAUGCUGAUGGCCCAGGGGGCCCUGGCGAUCCUGGUGGCCCAGGGGGCGAUGCUGGCAGCCCAGGAGAGGCGGGUGCUGCGGGCGGCGGAGGUACUCAGGGCAUCGCGGCAGCAAGGGCCUCAGGGCCAGGAGGAGGCGUCCCUCGUGGGCCACGUGGUGGCCCGGCUUCAUGGCUGAAUGGAUGCUGCAGAUGCGGGACCAGGAGGCCGGACAGCCGCCUGCUUGAGUUCUACCUCACCAUGCCUUUCCCGACACCCAUGGAAGCAGAGCUGGCCCACAGGAGCCUGGCCCGGGAUGCCCCACCGCUCCCCGUGCCAGGGGUGCUUCUGAAGGAGUUCACCGUGUCUGGCAACAUACUGACUAUGUCAGUUCAGGACCAGGACAGGGACGGGGCCUGGGUGGGUGGCCUGCGCAGCGUGGCAGGGUGGGGGCUGGGAUCCGCCUACACCCCACGGUCAGGUUUCUAGAGACCUGGGAACACCCCAGCACAGGGUCUCAGAACAGAGACCUGGUGCACCAGGCCCGCCACCACCCGAGGGAGCCCGGGGAGAUGGGUGCAGAGGUGUCACCUUUAAUGUAAUGUUCUUCGCCUCUCACAUUUAG